rnacentral:hammerhead_ribozyme from 1 species
GCAUUGCUGACGAGACCCAACCAGAUCGAAACAACCGUCCAGUGC